GACGAACGCUGGCGGCGUGCUUAACACAUGCAAGUCGAGCGGUAAGGCCCUUUCGGGGGUACACGAGCGGCGAACGGGUGAGUAACACGUGGGUGACCUGCCCUCAGCUCUGGGAUAAGCCUGGGAAACUGGGUCUAAUACUGGAUAUGACUCCACGGUGCAUGUCGUGGGGUGGAAAGCCUUGUGCGGCUGAGGAUGGGCCCGCGGCCUAUCAGCUUGUUGGUGGGGUGAUGGCCUACCAAGGCGACGACGGGUAGCCGGCCUGAGAGGGCGACCGGCCACACUGGGACUGAGACACGGCCCCAGACUCCUACGGGAGGCAGCAGUGGGGAAUCUUGCGCAAUGGGCGAAAGACCUGACGCAGCGACGCCGCGUGAGGGAUGACGGCCU
rnacentral:rRNA from 1 species